rnacentral:rRNA from 1 species
GACAGAGGUCCCGAGCGUUAGGCGGAAUCACUGGGCUUAAAGCGUGUGUAGGCGGAUGCCUAAGUACCUUGUGAAAUCCCAUGGCUCAACCAUGGAACUGCUUGGUAUACUGGGUGUCUUGAGCCAAUUAGGGGCUACCGGAACAAGUGGUGGAGCGGUGAAAUGCGUAGAUAUCACUUGGAACGCCAAUGGUGAAAACACUCUGCUGGGCCGACACUGACACUGAGAGACGAAAGCUAGGGGAGCGAAUGGG